GAUCAUGGCUCAGGACGAACGCUGGCGGCGCGCCUAACACAUGCAAGUCGAACGAGCGAGAGAGAGCUUGCUUUCUCGAGCGAGUGGCGAACGGGUGAGUAACGCGUGAGGAACCUGCCUCAAAGAGGGGGGACAACAGUUGGAAACGACUGCUAAUACCGCAUAAGCCCACGGCUCGGCAUCGAGCAGAGGGAAAAGGAGUGAUCCGCUUUGAGAUGGCCUCGCGUCCGAUUAG
rnacentral:rRNA from 1 species